CAGGUGCUGCAUGGCUGUCGUCAGCUCGUGUCGUGAGAUGUUGGGUUAAGUCCCGCAACGAGCGCAACCCUUGUCAUUAGUUGCUACAUUCAGUUGGGCACUCUAAUGAGACUGCCGGUGACAAACCGGAGGAAGGUGGGGAUGACGUCAAGUCCUCAUGGCCCUUAUAGGUGGGGCUACACACGUCAUACAAUGGAUGGUACAAAGGGUCGCCAACCCGCGAGGGGGAGCCAAUCCCAUAAAGCCAUUCGUAGUCCGGAUCGCAGUCUGCAACUCGACUGCGUGAAGUCGGAAUCGCUAGUAAUCGCGGAUCAGCAUGUCGCGGUGAAUACGUUCCCGGGUCUU
rnacentral:rRNA from 1 species